AUAAGCAAAGAUAAAAACACAGUUCUGGUUGGUAGUCCAGACGCAACUUAAAGUUGUCAGUAACCUGCCUCCUAAGGUUGUCCGUUCUUUGUCAGUAUCUA
rnacentral:ncRNA from 1 species